UCAUAUGUGACUUGUAAGCAAAACUAGUCAAAACUGAGUGAUGUCACCAGCCCUCCUAAUGACGAGUUUUCCGAGAUCAGCUCCACAAGAAUCAACUUACAUGAUGACAAAAAGUGGAUCUUCGAUGAGACGCCAUUAGAGAGAAGAGGAGAUGAUCUUACCAACAAGGGUAUACGAAAGCAGAGCUUCGGGGGAUGGUUGAGAAGCAGAGACAUGAAUAAUGUUCUUCCAAAAAGAAGAAGAGGUGAGAAAAGGGAAAAAAAACCUAAUUGAAGAAUUAGCGAUUUUCCCUCACCAAGAACCCUACAUUAAUACAAAAGGAAGUGACUUGCCAAUCAAGUUUCCCAUCCAUUGUAGAUGAGGGGAACAUUGUGUUUGUAGUAAGGCAAUGGAAGAAUGACUCAUUUAUGCUUCAAUGACUUCCAUGUUCUUUCUUGAGGAGAAGGAAGACCAUUCUUCUUGUUUUGCUACACAAGACUGAAAUAAGAAACCUCUUCUAAAAGUUCUUCACGCUCCAUGUAGACUAUCUCUUUCUCCAAGGAGCGCUUUUCAUUUAGAAAAAGCAACUUUUACUCUUCAUCUUAUCUUCGGCCAUACUAGACGCAAACUCAACUUCAAGAUCAAACAGUGCUUCUAAAGCCAACUCAACUCAAUAGCCAUACUUCAUGCCGUCUCUUCAGCUUUUUUAUCUUUCAAAGGAAUAUUUCAUUAAUAUGAUUUAGUUUUUAUUUUAUAUACAUCAUUU
rnacentral:sRNA from 1 species